UCUGGGAGAAGCUCGGAUGUCCCCGAAGCCGCUGACGAGUCUACUGUUGUCAGGUACCGUAGGCGCUGAUACUUCAGGUGGGAGUCACCUGUCGUAGAAGCUCGGAUAGAGACUUUUCGUUGGCGAAGCCCGGUAGGAAUCCGAUUACUAGAGAAGUCCGUUUGGGACUCGUCCGAUGUGGAAACUCGUCUGAGGAUGAUCCGUUGGGGAAGUUCGAUUUCAUGAAGGAUCUGGUGGAGGGUCGGUCGGCG
rnacentral:lncRNA from 1 species